UACGAAGGGGACUAGCGUUGCUCGGAAUCACUGGGCGUAAAGGGUGCGUAGGCGGGUCUUUAAGUCAGGGGUGAAAUCCUGGAGCUCAACUCCAGAACUGCCUUUGAUACUGAGGAUCUUGAGUACGGGAGAGGUGAGUGGAACUGCGAGUGUAGAGGUGAAAUUCGUAGAUAUUCGCAAGAACACCAGUGGCGAAGGCGGCUCACUGGCCCGUAACUGACGCUGAGGCACGAAAGCGUGGGGAGCAAACAGG
rnacentral:rRNA from 1 species